rnacentral:rRNA from 1 species
UACGUAGGGGGCAAGCGUUGUCCGGAUUCAUUGGGCGUAAAGAGCGUGUAGGCGGCCAGGUAGGUCGGUUGUGAAAACUGGAGGCUCAACCUUCAGAGGUCGACCGAAACCAUCUGGCUAGAGUCCGGGAGAGGAGAGUGGAAUUCCUGGUGUAGCGGUGAAAUGCGCAGAUAUCAGGAAGAACACCCGUGGCGAAAGCGGCUCGCUGGGACGGUACUGACGCUAAGGCGCGAAAGCGUGGGGAGCGAACAGG